rnacentral:rRNA from 1 species
UACGGGGGGAGCAAGCGUUGUUCGGAUUUACUGGGCGUAAAGGGCGCGUAGGCGGCCUGUGCAAGUCAGUUGUGAAAUCUCCGAGCUUAACUCGGAACGGUCAACUGAUACUGCUCGGCUAGAGUGCGGAAGGGGCAACUGGAAUUCUUGGUGUAGCGGUGGAAUGCGCAGAUAUCAGGAGGAACACCAAUGGCGAAGGCAGGUCUCUGGGCCACAACUGACGCUGAGGAGCGAAAGCAUGGGGAGCGAACAGG